rnacentral:rRNA from 1 species
AACGAACGCUGGCGGCAGGCCUAACACAUGCAAGUCGAGCGCGCCCUUCGGGGUGAGCGGCGGACGGGUGAGUAACGCGUGGGAACGUGCCCUUUUCUACGGAAUAGCCUCGGGAAACUGAGAGUAAUACAGUAUACGCCCUUUGGGGGAAAGAUUUGGCGGUAGAGGAUCGGCCCGCGUUGGAUUAGGUAGUUGGUGGGGUAAUGGCCUACCAAGGCGUCGAUCGGUAGCUGGUUUUAGAGGAUGACAGGCCACGCUGGGACUGAGAUACGGCCCAGACGCCUACGGGAGUGAGGAGUGGGGAAUAUUGCAGAAUGGGCGGAAGCCUGAUGCAGGAACGCCGCGUGCGGGAUGAAGGCCUUCGGGUUGUAAACCGCUUUCGCCUGUGACGAAGCGUGAGUGACGGUAAUGGGUAAAGAAGCACCGGCUAACUACGUG